rnacentral:lncRNA from 10 species
GGGGUUGCAGAGGUUUUGAAGUGCAUGGCGUGCUUAGCAAAUAUUAAGUGAUCCAUUCUGGUUAUCCUGCAUUCAAAGCGGAAGGGAAGAGUCGGUUGGCUGAGGUGUGAGAGGUCUCUGAAGGAAAUGUGUACCAGACCCUAAUUGUCUUCUGUGGGAUUUCUCCAUGAAAGGACCUGCAAUUUCCCAAGUGCACAUGAUGCUGAAGCGUUUACACUGUGGACUGCAGCACAUCUUGACUCCCCAGGAAGAGCCAAAAAGGUGAUGCCCAGAGAGAAAGUGGAGGAAAUAGCUUCUGCCCGCCAUCUCAUCUUAGCCCCUAUUGAUAUUAUUAGGUUAUUGAUAAUGGCUUCCGUCUGUGGCAGGCAGAACAAGCUCCACCCUUCUGUGUGUCUAUCUAAUGACAGCAUUCGGCUUGCCUGAUACAUAACAAACUACAAUCUGGGUCCUGAUCAUUAGGCAACAUCAUCAGUUAACAACAAAUAAAUGUUGGUUUAUUGUCAGAGAAAUAAGAUGUCGUAUAAAUUAGAUAGAUGUGCUAAAAACUUAAACAAUCAUUAGGCUUAGAUGAAAAGAAAUGAAGCAGGUGCUUCUGUGGUUCAUAAGGGUGAUGGCUGGGCUCAUGCGGAUGUGUGAGAUGUGCUACCCUGGAAACUGGUUAUGACGUCGGCACAUUACCCAUCUGACAUAAAACAAGAACAAAAAUGUAGCCAUGAGUGUGUAUAAAUGAAUCAAAAUAGAAAAGCAUUCCAUCAUACCCCUGAGUCCUAAGGACCGAAAGGUUUAGGUCUUUGCAGUUACGCGGGGGUUUUCACAUAAAGUAUUACCCUUGCUCCUCAGAAGAACCAUGCGAGUUCGGUUCUAUUAUUAUCCUCACUUUACAGCUUGAAGAAACUGACAAUUUUAGUAACUAUUCAAGGUCACACAGCUAGUAAGCAGUGGAACUGGGCCCUAAACCCGUAUUUCCCUAAUUGUAUGCUCUUUCAUUUUUACAGUUAGUCCUUGAUACAGGACAUAGUACGUCCUGGCACUCACAAAUGUGAAUAUGGAAACUUGAAUGUGGGAUGCUGGACUCUGAGAUCACAUUUGUGAGCUUAACAGCCCAGAACCUCCAGAUCCUGAGAAAAUUUUAAGUGAAAGAUGAGCGGAGUGAAACUGUUAACUCAUGCAAUAUGUGGAUUUUGACUAAAGUCAAAAUAGGGGAAUUCUAUCAAUAUAAAAGCCUUGGGAUGAGGGGACCGAUCACAAAAGAUGGCCACCCGGUUCCUUACCCGUUGCCUCACUAUAUUCCAUCUUUCAUUUUGCCAAGUCAAAAAUACACCAAAUGGAGGAACCAAAACUAACAGUCUUUUUGCAUUCAUUUAUGUAACAAACAGUUCCUAGGUUUUUGUUAUUAUUUUUCUUCUUUUUUUGAAAGGGACAAUAUAAGCAAAAUAGUAUUUUGUUGUUGUUCUCAUUGCAGUAGGUAUGUUAGCAUUUUUUUUUAAAUUUGAGAAUGAACAAUUUAUUGCUAGUUUUAAAACUCAUCUACUACACAAUCCUCAAUUGAGUAUUUUGUGACUACAUUUUGUGUAUAUGUUUGUUUGUGGUUGCACGUGGAGUGUGUGUUUGAGAAUGCACAUGUGUAUUUUGG